GAUGAACGCUGGCGGCGUGCCUAACACAUGCAAGUCGAGCGAAGCGGUUUUGAGGAAGUUUUCGGACGGAAUCAUAACUGACUGAGCGGCGGACGGGUGAGUAACGCGUGGGUAACCUGCCUCAUACAGGGGGAUAACAGUUAGAAAUGGCUGCUAAUACCGCAUAAGCACACAGCUUCGCAUGGAGCAGUGUGAAAAACUCCGGUGGUAUGAGAUGGACCCGCGUCUGAUUAGCUAGUUGGUAAGGUAACGGCUUACCAAGGCGACUAUCAGUAGCCGACCUGAGAGGGUGACCGGCCACAUUAGGACUGAGACACGGCCCAAACUCCUACGGGAGGCAGCAGUGGGGAAUAUUGCACAAUGGGGGAAACCCUGAUGCAGCGACGCCGCGUGAGUGAAGAAGUAUCUCGGUAUGUAAAGCUCUAUCAGCAGGGAAGAAAAUGACGGUACCUGACUAAGAAGCCCCGGCUAACUACGUGCCAGCAGCCGCGGUAAUACGUAGGGGGCAAGCGUUAUCCGGAUUUACUGGGUGUAAAGGGAGCGUAGACGGCGGAGCAAGUCUGAAGUGAAAGCCCGGGGCUCAACCCCGGGACUGCUUUGGAAACUGUUCUGCUAGAGUGCUGGAGAGGUAAGUGGAAUUCCUAGUGUAGCGGUGAAAUGCGUAGAUAUUAGGAGGAACACCAGUGGCGAAGGCGGCUUACUGGACAGUAACUGACGUUGAGGCUCGAAAGCGUGGGGAGCAAACAGGAUUAGAUACCCUGGUAGUCCACGCCGUAAACGA
rnacentral:rRNA from 1 species